CUACCGACUAACCUCAUCCCACCUCCUUGACCUGUCCGUCUCCCCUGGACUGACCUAUCCCCUCCCCACCUAUACUCUCUCCACCUAUCUUCUUUACUCUCCAUCUUCGUUCCGCCUCCCCAUCCCUGUUUAUUCCAGUUCCCUCUCCCCACCCCCCUCUCUGAUGAAGGGUCUUGGCCCGCAACGUCAGCUUUUGUGCUCCUCAGAUGCUGCUUGGCCUGCUGUGCUCAUCCAGCCUCACAUUUUAUUAUGUUGGGAGAGAGAGCUGUUUUGGUUUGUGAUACAAGAGACGAGGCUGUCUCUGCCUUUCACCCAUCGGUAGUUCUCCUCCUGUCCCUGCCUCUAUGCACACACACUGCCAGGCAUAGUCUUCCUCCCUCUCUGUGUGUGUGUGUCUCUCUCUCUCGCUUCAGCUCCUAAAACGUAAGAUGCAUCGGAUAUAAAAACACGCACAUAAACACACACACACACACAUACAUCAACAAGCCAUGGGGAAAGAUCAGGAAUUACUGCAAGCUGUCAAAACCGAAGAUGUAGCUGCAGUGCAGAAGCUGUUGCAAAGGCCGAAACAACGCAAAGCGAUUUCCACUUGGAAGAAAGAUUCACAUCAAAUUGACUGGUCAAGGAAAUGGGACACUGACUAACCACACGAUGAGACUGUUUUGAUGAGGAAUUUAAAGAUUAUGUGUCCCAUCCGUUUGACUCACAGUUUGGUACCAUAGGUUGGUACGAUCUUCGUUCGAGAAGGAAAAGGGAUGUUCCAGAUACAGAAAAUCGUCAAACCAUUUACUACAAAGUCCGUUUCUGAUUAGUAUUAAUUAAUGCAGUUAACAUUUUUAGCUCGACAUGAUUGCACAAUGGAGUCAACAAGAAAAUUUGAUCUGAUAUUCCACAUA